UUUGUCAAGGUCCUUUUGAAUUCUAAUAAUGUACUCCAAAGUGCGAGCAACCCCUCCGAAUCUGGUGUUGUCCACAAAUUUUAUAAGCCUACUCACCAGUAUCAUUAUCCAAAUCAUUAAUGAAAAUAUUGAAUAAUAUCAGACCAAGGAUUGACCCCUGCAAGACUUCCCUAGAUAUACCCUCCCGGUUUGAUAGAAAACCAUUGAUAACUACUCUUUGAGUACAAUCUUUCAAACAGUUGUGCACUUAUAGUAUUGUGAUCUAGACUACAUUUUCCUAGUUUGCUUAUGAAAAUGUCAUGAGGGAUUGCGUGUCAAGAGCCUUACAAAAAUAAAGAUAUAUCAUACCUACUGCUUUCCCCUCUAUCCACUAGGCCAGUAGCACUGUCAAAGAAGGAAAUUGGGUUAGUCUGGCAUGAUUUGUUCUUGACAAAUCCAUGCUGGUUAUUACUUAUCACCCAAUUAUCCUCUAAUACUUACAAAUUGAUUGAAUAAUUUUUUCCAGUAUCCUUCAGGUAUUGAAGUUACGCUCACUAAUCUGUAAUUCCCCAGGUCCUCUUUGUUCUCCUUUUUAAAGACAGGUUCUAUGUUCUCCCUUCUCCUGCCCUCUGGAACCUCACCUGUCCUCCAUGGGUUCUUGAAGAUAAUUGCUAGCGGUUCUGUGAUUGUUUACACUAGUUCCUUAAGUACCUUAAGAUGCUGACCUGAAUACAUUUAACUUACCUAAAUAUUUUUUAUCCUGUUCUUUCCCUAUUUUUGGCUUGCUUUUCUUCCGCCUGCUUGUUAAUAUGAAUUGUGUUGUGUAUCUAGUCAUCAUUUUAGGGAAGACUGAAGCCAAAUAGGCAUUAAACACAUCAGCCUUCUUGAUAUCAUCAGUAUUAGCUCUCCUUCCCCACUAAGUGGAGAACCUAUCCUUCCCUUUGUCUUUCUUGAGCUCCUAAUGUAUUUAAAGAACCUCUUUGUAUUGCCUUUAUGUCCCUUGCCAGGUGUAAUUCAUUUUGUGCCUUAGCCUUCCUGAUUUUGUCCCUACAUCCUUGCACUAUUAUUUUAUACUCCUCCUUAGCCGUUUGUCCAUGUAUCCACUUAUUGUAGAGACUUUUUUGAUUUUUGGGUCACUAAAGAGCUCCUGAUGGAGCCAUGCUGGCCUCUUACAAUUCUUCCUAUCUUUCCUUUGCCUCAGAAUAAUUGGCAAUUGUGUAUUUAAUAUUGUUUCUUUGAGAAACUGCCAGCUGUCUUGAACUCUUUUAUCCCUUUUAUUUUCUUUCCAUGGAACCUUAGACGUUCUCUGAGUUUAACAUCUACUUUUUUGAAGUCCAUUGUCCUUAUUCUGUUGCUUUCACUCCUUCCUGUCUUUAGAAUCAUGAAAUCUAUUAUUUCAUGAUCAUUUUCACCCAAAUUGCCUUUCAUCUGCAGAUUUGCAAUCAAAUUUUCCUUUAGUCAGAAUAAACUCUAAAAUGGCUGUCCCCCUGGUUACUUCCUCCACUUUCUGGAACAAAAAGUUGUUCCCAACACAAUUAAAGAUCUUACUGGAAAUUUUCUGUUUUGCUAUAUUACUUUUCCAAGAGACGUCUGGGUAGUUAAAAUCCCCCACUACUUCCAGGGCUUUUUGAUGUUUCUU